rnacentral:rRNA from 1 species
GACGAACCGUGCGAACGUUGUUCGGAAUCACUGGGCUUAAAGGGCGCGUAGGCGGGUGUGCAAGUCUGCGGUGAAAGCCUCCAGCUUAACUGGAGAAGUGCCGUGGAUACUGCUCAUCUUGAGGAGGGUAGGGGCAUCUGGAACGGUCGGUGGAGCGGCGAAAUGCGUUGAUAUCGACCGGAACUCCGGUGGCGAAGGCGAGGUGCUGGACCCUUUCUGACGCUGAGGCGCGAAAGCCAGGGGAGCAAACGGG